UAUGUACAUUCUAGAAGUAUCUUCAUCUCUCCACUCUCUCACUUUACGCCCAUAAAAUCUCAUUACAAUCUGAAAGUAUCACCGAUCUCCUUACUCCUCCAUGGCCAAAUCCUCGAGGGGCUACCCUCCAUUGUUACCAUUGAAACCAAUCGAAUUCAAACACAAAUCACUAUUACUCAAAAUCAAACACCCAAUCCCAAUUAAUUUUGACUCUGAUUGAAUCAAACCCUUCAAACAAAUCUCGAAUCACCCAUUUUUAUGAAAAUUCUCUGAUUUUUUUUAAACAAGGUCCGAAUUGAUGCUUUCUUUUUGGGGUUCUAAGGAGCAAAAUUCUUUUCACUUUCUUAGUUGGAUAUUAUGAUUCUAUCUUGUAUUUCUUUCAAUUCUAUUUCUAUUAAAACUACGUUAAAGAGUUAGUUUGAUCAAGGUGGAAGAGUGUGUAAAUUGACUGGAAACUACAUCAGAGAAAUUGCAAGUGGAAAAUUGAAUUAAACAAGAAGCAAUUUGUAGCCAGGCUGAACCAACAACUUGAAUAUGGAUUCUUCUUCAUGUUCUUUUUUCACGUGAAACUUUUAUAGUACUUCCUAAUGUUAGUGUAUGCUCUUUUAGGUCAAGAGGAAUUCUGCAUUAUAGGAUUCAAUUUUUUUUAAUGCUCCAUAGAAAAUAGAUUCAAAUAGUUUUCUAAGAUAUUUCAAAGUCGAAAGGGGAAGAGCUUGUAAAUAAGCUGGCAAAGUUAAAGAAUGAGAAGGCGCAAGAAUUGACUCUGCAACAUUUUUAAAAAAUGUAAGCUCUUGAGCUCUUUUUGAUAUUUUCUAUCCUAAAUAGCAGUAGAUUUCUUAAUAUUUGUUUAAGGUUCUUCAUUUUUGCAACAGGCUGUUGAAAUAAAUCUCUUAUAUCUCAACUGCUUGCUGGUUAUUUGAUUUUUAUGGCUCUCAUUGUUAAUAUUGUCUUUGUGAAUUAUGUUGUUCCUCCCUUUUAUAAUUGAAGAUAUUGAGAGUGGUAAUCAAACGUGUUAUAAAUUGUAUCUCACAAUCUUUUCAUGAAAUACAUGUUACCUCCCUUCAACACAACUUAUCGAGUUACUCUUAUGAUUAUCAAGAUUUAAAUUGAUUUUUCGUUAAUCAAACAAGCUCUCCAUAUGAUUUGCUUAUUUAGAAUAAUGAUUUCCAUGUGAAAUAUUAGUAAAAAUGUCUCAUUGUGAGGUCUAAACCACAAGAAGCUUAUUGUGAGCCAGAAGCAUGUAUUUGUGAAUUUGAUGUUUUUCGAAGUUUCAAUAAAGUGAAGUACUUUAUUUUGAAGAGAAGACGGGCAAAGGCCCUCAUAGGGCAUGGAUUAGAGACAUUUACAAAAUUAUUAUUUCAAGUGAUAUGGUGAUGGUUUAAGUAGAAGGCUGACACAUGGAUCUUUGAUCUCUGCCUUAUUCAUGGCAAAUUGAGAAUGAAAGGAUCAUGUUAUCGUCAAUGGCUUGAUGAAUAUUCAGAGUAAACCUAAAAAUUUCUCAACAACUUGAAUCCACAACCUUUUUGUUAUUCUUUUUUGGUAAGCUGAUUGAGAGAAAUUGACCUAAAGGCUAAUAUUUGUAAUUUCUAUGUUCUACCUAUUGGUUUAGAAUUGUAUGUGUGUGUCACAAUAUCACCGACUCACCGACUGAAUAAGAAAAUGAUUAAAAAAAAAAGAGGAUACUAACAUAGAGGAUAAAACUUGCCUCAAAGUUGAAAAAUGAAAGAGACGUGUAGAGGUUGAUAAAAAAUGACCAUAUUAAUAUCUAAGGAAGCUUGAGUGCUCGACAUCUGAUUGUACUGAGGAAAAAUAUCACAUGUAAAGGGGUUUACUUGAAGUAUUUUAGAUUUGUAAGAAAUUGUGCUCUUCUUAAUUGCUAUAUUAGCUUGUGUAGCAUUGUUACUCGCAGGAAAUACCUAGAAUCUACAGUAAAUGAAUUAUGUUUCUAUUUCAGAAAAAACUUUCUUUCAAUUAUUGGAUAAACUUAUUUGUAAGAAAAUUCUUCAAGUCCACUAAAUGAGUUCAGUAUAUAUGCUUCAUAUAAUAUUCUGCACUUCAAAAUGAUCCUCCCGAGUAGAGGCGACACUAGGAUUUUGAGGUUAUGAGUUCUGGAUUCUAGAAAAGACAACUUGUUGAAUUCUAGUCCAGAACUACUUCAUUCUGCUAAAUUCAUGGACAAGCUUGUAGCUCUGCCUCUACCUCUGCCUCCGAGUAUUCUUGAAGCUAAGUUGCAGUUUUUUUCCCACUGUAAAAAGAUUAGUAGUCAUUUUGGAGUGUGACGUGCUUAAGUGAAACGACAUGUUCAUUUAAGACUCUUAUAUCCGACCUCCCAACUUGCUCGGGUUGAGGCAUCAUAGAGAGUUUGAUAACCAUUUUCUAUGUUACUUGAUUUUUCGGAAUUAUUGCAUUCGUGUUGUGGACAUGCAGCCGGUGAAGUUUUGAAGAGUUCGACCAAUAUAGCUUUCCCUAAGCCUAAACUCAACUAGAAAAGGGAGAAAGCCAUUCCAAGCUCUAAUAUCAAACAAAGAUGCUUGGCAACAAGUUCAAAAUUCAAAUUGUGCUCUUAAUGUUGGCUGGCAAUAGUUAUGUAUUAUACUUCGAACAAUCUGGAAUAAUAAAGUGUGCAUCAGGUCAUUUUUAGUUUACCAUUUUGUAUGUUAAACGAAGUGUUUUAGUUCCUUUGAUAGUAGUUCUUAAACAUUUUUUCUGUUUGUUUGUGAAAAUCGUGAUAAAUUGUUUGAUUAGUUCGAGUAAAAGAAGUACAGAACAAGUAUUGUUUAUGUUGAAGUAUCAUUACUUUUUAUAUUGAUGUCGUACACUUUGUUUUAGUUGCAGCUGCAUUAUCUAUGUAGCUUUUACCAUAAUAUUAUCUUAGUAGUUAUAGUAUUGUUUUGGUAGUUUCUUGUCCUUUAAUCUAUGUUAUUUUCUAUCGUUCCAUGUACUUUGAUUAUCGUAUUGUAGUACUAUUAUAUUAUUAUCUAUUGUUUUUUGUUAUUAUCUAAUGUUUCUUGUACUUUUGUAACUUCUUUUUCGGGAUUGUUCUUCUUGAGUCGAGGGUCAAUGAGAAACAACCUCUCUGCUUCCAGUGUUGCGGUCAGGUAAGGUAAAUACUGCAUACGUGCUAUCGUUCUCAGACCCCACUUUGUAGGACGACAAUGGGUAUGCUAUUGUUGUUUUAUUGUUGCCUUUUAUUGUGGUUCCUAAUAUAUUGUUUUUUACAGGUCCCUAUGUAAAGCAUAUUUCCGCUAUUAGUAAUUUGCAGAAGCAAAUAACUUGACGGAGUAGUACUGAACAAUUUUUGAAGAAACAUUUAAGCAACUGAGUAAUGGUGUUCUGUCACAAUUUUUUAGUAUGUGAUUGUAAGAUAUACUAAUGGGUUUUUGUGAAGUUGAGACUAUGUUGGGAAUGAAAUUGGUUCAAUUGGCUUCUCAAUUAUCGUAACUUCCCUCCACUUCCUCUACUACUCAACCUGUGACCAGUGUGGUUGUGUUUUCACCUUAUAUAUGAAUCAAUUAUUGUCUGAA